UGCAAGUCGAGCGGUAGAGAGGAGCUUGCUUCUCUUGAGAGCGGCGGACGGGUGAGUAAUGCCUAGGAAUCUGCCUAGUGGUGGGGGAUAACGUUCGGAAACGGACGCUAAUACCGCAUACGUCCUACGGGAGAAAGCGGGGGACCUUCGGGCCUCGCGCCAUUAGAUGAGCCUAGGUCGGAUUAGCUAGUUGGUGAGGUAAUGGCUCACCAAGGCGACGAUCCGUAACUGGUCUGAGAGGAUGAUCAGUCACACUGGAACUGAGACACGGUCCAGACUCCUACGGGAGGCAGCAGUGGGGAAUAUUGGACAAUGGGCGAAAGCCUGAUCCAGCCAUGCCGCGUGUGUGAAGAAGGUCUUCGGAUUGUAAAGCACUUUAAGUUGGGAGGAAGGGUAGUAACUUAAUACGUUGCUACUUUGACGUUACCGACAGAAUAAGCACCGGCUAACUUCGUGCCAGCAGCCGCGGUAAUACGAAGGGUGCAAGCGUUAAUCGGAAUUACUGGGCGUAAAGCGCGCGUAGGUGGUUCAGUAAGUUGGAAGUGAAAUCCCCGGGCUCAACCUGGGAACUGCUUUCAAAACUGCUGAGCUAGAGUACGGUAGAGGGUGGUGGAAUUUCCUGUGUAGCGGUGAAAUGCGUAGAUAUAGGAAAGGAACACCAGUGGCGAAGGCGACCACCUGGACUGAUACUUGACACUGAGGUGCGAAAGCGUGGGGGAGCAAACAGGAUUAGAUACCCUGGUAGUCCACGCCGUAUAACGAUGUCAACUAGCCGUUGGGAGU
rnacentral:rRNA from 1 species